CUGUGGCCUUCAAGAAGAACAGAGGCCAAGAGGCUGGCAUACGGACCGGCAGGUUCCUAGUGUGGUUAUUCCUGUGUGCUGUUAGUGGUGAACAGUGCAGAGUUCGUUGAUUUUAUCCACGCAUUGUACUUUUUCAGGACAGCAGUGCAGUUUAGGAGAAUUUAAGGAGUACAGUGUCUAACUGGUUGACUUACGAGAGGAAAAAGUGCUGUGAAAUACAGUGCAUAGAUAAUCAAAAGCAGUAAGGCUUUUUUUGUGUUUGUUCCCUGCUAACUACUUCUUGUGGUUAUUUAUAACAAUGUGAAAACUGUAUCUAUCUGCACAAAUCCUAAGAAGACACACCUGAUUUAGUUGUGCAUAUGAAGAAAGGGAAAUACACAGAAUAUUUCCCUUUUUAAUUUGUGAUUGAAAUCCAUUGUGCGUUGUUGUUCUACUGUUAGUAAUGCAUAGACAGAAGAGCGGGCUGUCACCAACAACGUUUCCUUGGUUUGUAUUUCAGAGGGUAAACAUGUAGAACGUAUAUUUAUGGAUACGUAUGUGCACAGAUGAGUGUACACUGGUUGUAAUGUGUAGUGAUAUAGUAAAGCCCCUGAUAGAGUGAAGCAAAGGGAAAUCCCUAGC
ensembl:lncRNA